UAAAGGUUACCCCACCGACUUCGGGUGUUACAAACUCUCGUGGUGUGACGGGCGGUGUGUACAAGGCCCGGGAACGUAUUCACCGCGGCAUGCUGAUCCGCGAUUACUAGCGAUUCCGGCUUCAUGUAGGCGAGUUGCAGCCUACAAUCCGAACUGAGAACGACUUUAUCGGAUUAGCUCCCUCUCGCGAGUUGGCAACCGUUUGUAUCGUCCAUUGUAGCACGUGUGUAGCCCAGGUCAUAAGGGGCAUGAUGAUUUGACGUCAUCCCCACCUUCCUCCGGUUUGUCACCGGCAGUCACCUUAAAGUGCCCAACUAAAUGAUGGCAACUAAAAUCAAGGGUUGCGCUCGUUGCGGGACUUAACCCAACAUCUCACGACACGAGCUGACGACAACCAUGCACCACCUGUCACCGUUGUCCCCGAAGGGAAAACCAUAUCUCUACAGUGGUCAACGGGAUGUCAAGACCUGGUAAGGUUCUUCGCGUUGC
rnacentral:rRNA from 1 species